GACUUUUGGGAUAGCAUUGGAAAUGUAAUUGAGGAUAAUACGUAAUAAAAAAGAAUAAAAAAUACAGAGUUAAAAUGACAGGCACGAAUUAAUCUUCCAAUUAGCUAAGGACUGAUUCAGCAUGUCACUCUUAAACCGUACUGUCAUUGAAGGGACCCAUCAUUUACGGUGACAGUAGUUGCUCUGUGUUUAACAUUCCCAUUAGGUCUGCAGCCUCACCUUUUCCCUGUCAAUCAUCAUAGCUUAGACUCAGUCUGUCCAAGUGAAGGUGGAAAUGGUUGGUCAAUGAUCAUACAUCUAUCAUUCUUCAGAAACCAGGCAGUUGGUAUCAUGAGCAAUUGUGAUCACGCUUUCCCAGAAAUUUAAAAAUCUGUAGCUUUCAAAUGUUCGUGAGCAUUCUGGAGCAAAACAGCUAUUAAGAGGAAAGAUAUUUACCUUUGGGAGUUUGGUUUUUCAGAAGAAAACUCAAAUAUUUAGAACAAUUUUCUCUUGAUUAACAAAUUUGAAAUAUGUUUUCUAUUUUGGAAAAUCACUAUUUAAAGACAUAUAAUAUGUGUGACUAUCCUAGUCAGUACUUCUUAGCACAAGCUAAACACAACAUAAAUUCUGAAAGAAUGACAUUUAUUUUUUUUAAUUUUUGGGGAUAUUUUCUUUAUUUACAUUUCAAAUCCAGUUUCACUCCCAGCAACUCCCUAUCCCACCUCCUUACCCACAUACCCACUCCUGCCUCCCUGCCAUGGCAUUCCCUUACACGGGGGCAUCGAACCUUCACAGCACCAAGGACCUCUUCCCCACUGAUUCCUGACAAGGCCACCUUCUGCUAGAUUUGCAGCUAGAGCCAUGGGUCCCCCGAUGUGUACUCCUUGUUUGGUGGUUUAGUCCCUGGGAGCUCUGGGGGUUCUGGUUGGUUGAUAUUAUUGUUCUUCCUAUGGGGUUGCAAAACCCCUUCAGCUCCUUGAGUCCUUUUUCUAGCUCCUCCAUUGAGGACCCUGUGCUCAGUCCAAUGGUCAGCUGAGAGCAUCCGACUCUGUAUUUAUCAGACUCUGGAAAAGCCCCUCACGAGACAGUUAUAUCAGGCUCCUGUCAACAAGAACUUGUUGGUAUCCACAAUAGUGUCUGGGUUUUAUGACUGUAUUUAGGCUGGAUCCCCAGGUGGGAGACUCUCUCGAUGGCCUUUCCUUCAGUCUCUGCUCCAGACUUUGUCUCCAUAUUUCCCUCCAUGAGUAUUUUGAUUCCCCUUCUAAGAAAGACUUCAUGAAGCACCCACACGCUGGUCUUCUUUCUUGAGCUUCCUAUGGUCUGUGAAUUGUAUCUUAGGCAUUCUGAGCUUCUGGGCUAAUAUCCACUUAUCAGUGAGUGCACACCAUGUGUUUUCUUUUGUGACUGGGUUACAUCACUCAGGAUGGUACUUUCUAGUUUCAUCCAUUUGCCUAAGAAUUUCAUGAAGUCAUUGUUUUUAAUAGCUGAGUAGUACUUCAUUGUGUAAAUGUACCACAUUUUCUGUAUCCAUUCCUCUGUUGAGGGACAUGUGGGUUUUUUCCAGUUUCUGGAUAUUAUAAAUAAGGCUACUAUGAACAUAGUGGAGCAUGUGUGCUUGUUAUAUGUUGAAGCAUUUUCUGGGUAUAUGCUCAUGAGUGUUAUAACUGGCUCUUCAGGUAGUACUAUGUCCAAUUUUCUGAGGAACCACCAAACUGAUUUCAUGAGUGGUUGUACUUAUACACAAAGCCAAAGAGAAUUAAAGAUAAAUGUAUGCUUAUUAUUUAUUACUAUGGCAACCAUGUGCUAUGAAAUACCAUAUACAAUCUUUCUAUUAAAAUUAAUGGCAAUAGUUUAAUUUUUCUUUAAUUUUCAGCUAUUAAUAAAAUACUCAAACAUUAUACACAUUAAGUAUUGUUUUUAUUAAAAUUUUAAUUUUGCAGAUUCUAAUUUUAUUUUGAAAGUUUUAAAAGUUCAAAAACUACAUAGCCAUACCUCGAAAAAUAAGGUCACAUAUUAAAUCUAUUUGGGGGAACCAAUGAUAAUGUUGCAAAACUGUAACAUUGAGUUUUAGUUAACAGAUGCAUAAAUGCCUUAUUGCAGACAUGUCAUUGUUGAUUUUUCAACAUCAUGAGAUGUGAAAAGCCAUGUUGUGACCUCUCUGGGCACCAAUCAUGUACAUGGCACACAUGCAUGCACUCAGGCAAAAUUGUGUGUGUGUGUGUGUGUGUGUGUGUGUGUGUGUGUGUGAAUGCACACUAAUUUAACUUUCAAAGCAUUGAGAGGUUCACACAUACCUCAGCAGAUUAGUUUAAGAAUAAAAUCUGUAAUAAUAGACACAUAUGAUACAUGUAUGUGUUAAAUAUUCUCUAAUUUAACUUCUCCCAAAUGAAUUUUUUGAUAACUGUGACAUGUUAGAUAAUGCAUAGGUUUUUAAAGAUGUAGCUGUUAUUUUGGUAAUUUUAAACAUAAAGUAUUUUACAUGGAAGCAUAUAGUCCAGAAAUAGCAGGUAAUUUCAUCACAUUAUAUUUCAGUGUAUUAAUGAUAAAGUUUUAUUAAACAUUCAAAAAGCUUAAAAAGGUCCAAAUAAAAAGGUCAGUAUUUUGUUCUAGAAUGUAUUAUGACAUUAAAAAAAUAUCAAAAUUGACAUAGACCAAGGAAGCAGGUAGGUUAACUACAGCUCUUCACCUCUUCCCCCUCUCUUCCAAAUCCAGUCCUGUCUCAUUCCAUUUCUCUAGAACACUGUGUGCUGAAGCCUCCCGUGCCUUUCUGCUCCCAUCUCCAGUGACUCAGAUAGAUAUUCUCUUCCAACUUUCCUCCCUACCCAUUCCUUUGUCUCAGACCCUAACUCCAGGAAGAUUUUCAUGGGAACCCAAUAGCCAAACCUUCCAGAAAAGCAAGUAGUCCAACAAAGAUUCAGAUCUCUAUUUUUUUCCCUCAAAAUCAAUACACCAAUCUCAUUCUUAGCACUAUAGCAAGCUACCUGCUGUGGCCUCCCCUCACUCUCUGCCCCCAUUCCCAGGAGCCUAAAUAUAUCAUGUGGAACACUACGCUUUUCCUCCCUCCUGUGGACACCCUGACAUCAGCCCAUCCCUAUCCUUAAAUGUAAGCUCCGAAUAUCUACAAAAAUGUGUACUGAGAACCCCCAGUGGCCAUACCUCCCAGAAUCCUGAAGCAAUUCCUAUCAAGUAGCCCACAACCACCACAGUCUCCUAAAAGUCAAAAAGGGAAAUAGAAAGCAAGGC
rnacentral:lncRNA from 1 species